rnacentral:rRNA from 1 species
UACCAAGGGGGCGAGCGUUGUUCGGAUUUACUGGGCGUAAAGGGCGCGCAGGCGGCUCAUUUUGUCAGGCGUGAAAGCCCCGGGCUUAACCUGGGAACUGCGUUUGAUACGGAUGGGCUAGAGUUCGGGAGAGGAGAGUGGAAUUCCCAGUGUAGAGGUGAAAUUCGUAGAUAUUGGGAAGAACACCGGUGGCGAAGGCGGCUCUCUGGACCGAGACUGACGCUGAGGCGCGAAAGCGUGGGGAGCAAACAGG